AUUGAACGCUGGCGGCAUGCUUUACACAUGCAAGUCGAACGGCAGCGCCGUCUUCGGCCUGGCUGCGAGCGGCGAAUUGGUGUGUAAUACAUCGGAACGUCCCCAGUAGUACGCUGUAGCUCGUCGAGAGCCGGAUUAAUACCGCCUACGACCUGAGCGUGCAGGCGGGGGGUCGUCGGAUCUCGCGGUAUUGGAGGGUCUGACGGCAGAUUUGCUAGUUGGUGGGGUAAAGGCCUUCCAAGCCGACGAUUUGUAGUCGGUCUGAGAGGACGUCUAGCCACACUGGGAAGGAGACACGGCCCAGACUCCUACGGGACGCGUCCGUGGGGAAAUUUGGACCAUGGGCGAAAGCCUGAUCCAGAAAGGCCGCGUGUUAGAUGAAGGACUACGGGUUGUAAAGCACUUUUGGCGGGAACGAAAACGACUGUGCCAAUACCACGGCUCGAUGACGGUACCCGCAGAAUAAGCAACGGCUAACUACGUG
rnacentral:rRNA from 1 species